GAGUUUGAUCUUGGCUCAGGAUGAACGCUGGCGGCGUGCUUAACACAUGCAAGUCGAACGAAGCGCCUUAUUUGAUUUUCUUCGGAACUGAAGAUUUGGUGACUGAGUGGCGGACGGGUGAGUAACGCGUGGGUAACCUGCCCUGUACAGGGGGAUAACAAUCAGAAAUGACUGCUAAUACCGCAUAAGACCACAGCACCGCAUGGUGCAGGGGUAAAAACUCCGGUGGUACAGGAUGGACCCGCGUCUGAUUAGCUGGUUGGUGAGGUAACGGCUCACCAAGGCGACGAUCAGUAGCCGGCUUGAGAGAGUGAACGGCCACAUUGGGACUGAGACACGGCCCAAACUCCUACGGGAGGCAGCAGUGGGGAAUAUUGCACAAUGGGGGAAACCCUGAUGCAGCAACGCCGCGUGAGUGAAGAAGUAUUUCGGUAUGUAAAGCUCUAUCAGCAGGGAAGAAAGUGACGGUACCUGACUAAGAAGCCCCGGCUAACUACGUGCCAGCAGCCGCCGU
rnacentral:rRNA from 1 species